rnacentral:rRNA from 1 species
UAGGGAAUCUUCGGCAAUGGACGAAAGUCUGACCGAGCAACGCCGCGUGAGUGAAGAAGGUUUUCGGAUCGUAAAACUCUGUUGUUAGAGAAGAACAAGGACGUUAGUAACUGAACGUCCCCUGACGGUAUCUAACCAGAAAGCCACGGCUAACUACGUGCCAGCAGCCGCGGUAAUACGUAGGUGGCAAGCGUUGUCCGGAUUUAUUGGGCAUAAAGCGAGCGCAGGCGGUUUCUUAAGUCUGAUGUGAAAGCCCCCGGCUCAACCGGGGAGGGUCAUUGGAAACUGGGAGACUUGAGUGCAGAAGAGGAGAGUGGAAUUCCAUGUGUAGCGGUGAAAUGCGUAGAUAUAUGGAGGAACACCAGUGGCGAAGGCGGCUCUCUGGUCUGUAACUGACGCUGAGGCUCGAAAGCGUGGGGAGCAAACAGG